rnacentral:antisense_RNA from 1 species
AGCCAUGGCGAGCCGUGCGGGGCAGGCUUCGGCCUGGCCGGUCUUUACGCUGGUUAACCGGUACUGCGACCCCGCACGGUCCGCCGCCCUU